rnacentral:misc_RNA from 1 species
GCAGUGCUGCAUCUAAAGGUGGAGAAUAUUGUGGUUAUUGGCCACAGCUGCUGUGGUGGUAUAAAGGGGCUCAUGUCUAUCCCAGAUGAUGGAACCACUGCUAGUGAAUUUAUAGAAAAUUGGGUUCAAAUCUGUUCGAUCGCAAAGACCAAGGUUAAGACAGACUACAGCAGCUUAAGUUUUGAAGAACAAUGCCUCAACUGCGAGAAGGAAGCUGUGAAUGUAUCACUGGAAAACCUGUUGACAUAUCCAUUCGUGAGAGAGGGACUGCUGAAGAAAACUCUGGCACUGAAAGGUGCACACUAUGAUUUUGUCAAGGGAACUUUUGAGCUCUGGAAUCUUGAUUUUAAGGUUACGCCCGCUGUAGCUUUAUGAGUUAUUCCUGCAACCUCAUGACCCUGCUUCAAUAUCAAAUAUAUAAGAGUGUUUCUCUCUUGCAGUGAAUUCUGUA